GUGGCGGACGGGUGAGUAACACGUGGGUAACCUGCCCUUAAGUGGGGGAUAACAUUUGGAAACAGAUGCUAAUACCGCAUAGAUCCAAGAACCGCAUGGUUCUUGGCUGAAAGAUGGCGUAAGCUAUCGCUUUUGGAUGGACCCGCGGCGUAUUAGCUAGUUGGUGAGGUAACGGCUCACCAAGGCGAUGAUACGUAGCCGAACUGAGAGGUUGAUCGGCCACAUUGGGACUGAGACACGGCCCAAACUCCUACGGGAGGCAGCAGUAGGGAAUCUUCCACAAUGGACGCAAGUCUGAUGGAGCAACGCCGCGUGAGUGAAGAAGGCUUUCGGGUCGUAAAACUCUGUUGUUGGAGAAGAAUGGUCGGCAGAGUAACUGUUGUCGGCGUGACGGUAUCCAACCAGAAAGCCACGGCUAACUACGUGCCAGCAGCCGCGGUAAUACGUAGGUGGCAAGCGUUAUCCGGAUUUAUUGGGCGUAAAGCGAGCGCAGGCGGUUUUUUAAGUCUGAUGUGAAAGCCCUCGGCUUAACCGAGGAAGCGCAUCGGAAACUGGGAAACUUGAGUGCAGAAUAGGACAGUGGAACUCCAUGUGUA
rnacentral:rRNA from 1 species